UUUUGUGUUUAUUAAAUGAAUUGCAAGUCAUUUGAAACAGUAUAUAAAUUUUUAGUUUUAUGGUUUAAAAGUGUCAAAAUACAAUGAAAGAAUUCCACAUAAAAUUUGAAAUAUAUAAUGCUAAUUUCUUAAUAAUAAUCAGCAAUUACUUAUUUUGCACAGUUUUCAAGUUCAUUCAUAAUUCAAACAACCUUAGCUGACUUUCAUUUCAACAGUCUCUGAACCAAAAAUUUUUGGUUAUUGAUGUUCUUGAGAAUUCAUUCCUAUCUCAUGUAGUUAAACUAAAAAAAAUUACAGUGCUAUUAUCUCGCAGUUAUUUUUAUUGGUCCUAGUUAAAGUAUUCCAAACAAAUUGCAUAUGAAGGAAAACUCCUUACAAGCCAUUACCAAGAUUAUUUUGAAAUGCACUUAUUUAUAAAGAUUAUUGAUUAUGGAACUAGAAAAUACAAUGUCGGUAUUCCAGAAUGGUACUUUCCAAUUCGUCAACACUACAUAGGAAAGGUAGGAUUCAGUUUUCUUAGCUUUUCAUUAAAUUUAAAGUUAAUUCCUCCCUUACUAAAGGAUCAAUAUGUAUUAAAGUUGUUGUGAGAUAUCAGUGAAUACUGAAUAGAAUUUUGUAGUUGGUAACUACCAGGAUGCACCUUCAACCCUCAAUCUAAAAACGUGGCCUUUAUAUCCUGUUAAAUUAAUUUUUCCAUUCUUAAACAAGCUGAAGGUACCAAAAUAUAUAAAAAUUGUUCUGAGGCACCAGUGAAAAGAAUUUUAUAGUUGGAAAUUACGGUGGUGCGCUUUUAACAACCAAUUUCAAAACGGAGUUUUUU